rnacentral:lncRNA from 1 species
CUCUCUCUCUCUCUCUCUCUCUCUCUCUACCCCUCUCCCUCCCUCUCCUGCACCGUCUUGUUCUUCAGAGAUUCGCAGCGGUGUCGUUUCGCAUGUUUGUCUUCGCGUGAUCUUCUCUGUGAGCUUCCUGCAUCACACUGAUUCCUGUGCUCGUUCUCUUCCAUCGUGUCAUAUCCACUCCCCUGGCGCAGCCGACCACUCUCAGCGAGGAUGACUAACACGCCAGCUUUCUCGCAGAUCCCCUACCUUCCUUUCGCCCAUUCGGUAAGCCCACGUCUCCUUGGUCUCCGUCUCUCUUUCUGUCUAUUCUAUCUAUCUAUCUAUCUAUCUAUCUAUCUAUAUAUCGGUUUGUCUGUCUCACAUUCAUCACCCUUCUUCUCUGGUAGGGGAGGUGGUGCGACGUGGGAACGUCUCACACUGCAAAAACCAGAUCCAAAAGGUAUUCUAGGGAGCUAAUCGGUGGCUUCUGGGAGGCUCCCAUACGCCGGCAGUGGCUAGUCAUGGCACCAAGGCUGGCGUCCCCACUCUGUUAGUCCUGAACUGGUGCUAUCCGAUCUGAGCUUCCUUCCCACAGUCGUCACCUCCGCCGCCUCUCCUCCCUCGCCUCUACCUUCAGCUGUCUUCAUUCUCUUCUCCCGCGCUCUCCGUUUGCACUCGGAAGCGGCCGUCUUCUUGACCUUGUAAGACCUUUUCUUGGCCUUGUAAGACCCCGCUCCGUAAUUCUCGUCCUACAUCUUCUCUCUACCUCUCCUUUCGCCCGCCCUGCUCUGCACCGGAGUCCAGCCGCCGUGGCCCCGGCCUCCCCUCCCCCCCUUCUCAUCUCCUUCUUCUGCCUAUCCCUCCUGAGCUGAUCGGACCAACUUUAAAUCCGAUUCCAUCGCAACUUUUCUUUGAUUUUGCUUCUCCUGGGAUCCCAUUCUGCUCUAUGAUACCUCUCUCAUUCAUGUUCUUUUCUCCUUUAUUUCAUCACACUUCUCCUGUGAUUUUGUUCUCUUAUAAGCCCAUUCUACUUGGUCUGUUUCUCUCUCGCGCCUUUCUUUUGUCUUCUUCUCGUGAACAUUGAGGGCAAGAUCGCAGUGUAAUUCACGGAAGUUUUAAAGAAAAUCUAAGAGCAGGGACAAGAAUAAUAACGAGGAGCAGCGUUGCCGCAGUCGCCAAGUUCGCCUUUGUUCAUACGCAGGAGCGUGUAGACGAUGGACGAGGGGGCGUGAAUAUUCCCCACGUGACUACUCGUGGCUGGGUGUACAUCGUAUUUAAGAUUGUGCCCCCUUCUCGCAUUGUCGUCUUCUCUGAGAGGUCGUCGAUGUGAGACGUUAUAUUUGAUUAUUUACUUGCUGCGGCAAAGUGCUUAUGGAUUUUGCGUCUCUUGCGGAUUGAUUCCCACUUGGCAUCUUGCGGGAAGGAGGAACCCUCAUCAACGCAGCGCCAUGUCACAGGAGAAGACUGAGAUCUAAAUUGGGUGGGAGUUGUGGUGUUGUUCAUGGCCUAAUGGGGCUGCUGAUGGUCAGACAGUGAGAGUAUGAUAUAUAUAUAUAUAUAUAUAGAUAUAUAUAUGAGAGAGAGAGAGAGAGAGAGAGCUUUUCUAGGAGAUGGGGC